AAGUCGAGCGAACAGAUGAGGAGCUUGCUCCUCUGACGUUAGCGGCGGACGGGUGAGUAACACGUGGAUAACCUACCUAUAAGACUGGGAUAACUACGGGAAACCGGAGCUAAUACCGGAUAAUAUAUUGAACCGCAUGGUUCAAUAGUGAAAGACGGUUUUGCUGUCACUUAUAGAUGGAUCCGCGCCGCAUUAGCUAGUUGGUAAGGUAACGGCUUACCAAGGCAACGAUGCGUAGCCGACCUGAGAGGGUGAUCGGCCACACUGGAACUGAGACACGGUCCAGACUCCUACGGGAGGCAGCAGUAGGGAAUCUUCCGCAAUGGGUGAAAGCCUGACGGAGCAACGCCGCGUGAGUGAUGAAGGUCUUCGGAUCGUAAAACUCUGUUAUUAGGGAAGAACAAAUGUGUAAGUAACUAUGCACGUCUUGACGGUACCUAAUCAGAAAGCCACGGCUAACUACGUGCCAGCAGCCGCGGUAAUACGUAGGUGGCAAGCGUUAUCCGGAAUUAUUGGGCGUAAAGCGCGCGUAGGCGGUUUUUAAGUCUGAUGUGAAAGCCCACGGCUCAACCGUGGAGGGUCAUUGGAAACUGAAAAACUUGAGUGCAGAAGAGGAAAGUGGAUUCCAUGUGUAGCGGUGAAAUGCGCAGAGAUAUGGAGGAACACCAGUGGCGAAGGCGACUUUCUGGUCUGUAACUGACGCUGAUGU
rnacentral:rRNA from 1 species